CGGGGCGCAGCAGUCGGGAAUUUUGGGCAAUGGGCGAAAGCCUGACCCAGCAACGCCGCGUGAAGGAUGAAGUCUUUCGGGAUGUAAACUUCGUAAGAAUAGGAAGAAUAAAUGACGGUACUAUUUGUAAGGUCCGGCUAACUACGUGCCAGCAGCCGCGGUAAUACGUAGGGACCAAGCGUUGUUCGGAUUUACUGGGCGUAAAGGGCGCGUAGGCGGCAAUUCAAGUCAGUUGUGAAAUCUCCGAGCUUAACUCGGAACGGUCAACUGAUACUGCUUUGCUAGAGUACAGAAGGGGCAAUCGGAAUUCUUGGUGUAGCGGUGAAAUGCGUAGAUAUCAAGAGGAACACCUGAGGUGAAGACGGGUUGCUGGGCUGAUACUGACGCUGAGGCGCGAAAGCUAGGGUAGCAAACGGGAUUAGAUACCCGCGU
rnacentral:rRNA from 1 species